rnacentral:RNase_P_RNA from 1 species
CGAGUCGACCGGGCGGUCGCGUCGGCGGGGCCAACGCCCCGCCGCCGAGGAACGUCCGGACUCCACAGGGCAGGGUGGUUGCUAACGGCAACCCGGGGCGACCCGCGGGACAGUGCCACAGAAAACAAACCGCCGAGCCCGCUCGGUAAGGGUGAAACGGUGGGGUAAGAGCCCACCAGCAUCCCGGGUGACCGGGGUGGCUAGGUAAACCCCACCCGGAGCAAGGCCAAGAAGGGUCCUCACCGCGAGGUGAUGGCCUGCGCAGGCGAUCGAGGGCGGCCCGCCCGAUGCCUGCGGGUAGGCCGCUGGAGCCUGUCGGCAACGGCAGGCCGAGAUGGAUGACCGCCCCCGGCGACAACGGCAACGGUGCCGCCGGGCACAGAAUCCGGCGUACAGGUCGACUCGUCCG